rnacentral:rRNA from 1 species
ACUCCUACGGGAGGCAGCAGUGGGGAAUAUUGGACAAUGGGCGGAAGCCUGAUCCAGCAACGCCGCGUGAGGGAUGACGGCCUUCGGGUUGUAAACCUCUUUCAGUAGGGACGAAGCGCAAGUGACGGUACCUACAGAAGAAGCACCGGCCAACUACGUGCCAGCAGCCGCGGUAAUACGUAGGGUGCGAGCGUUGUCCGGAAUUAUUGGGCGUAAAGGGCUCGUAGGCGGUUUGUCGCGUCGGGAGUGAAAACACCGGGCUUAACUCGGUGCUUGCUUUCGAUACGGGCAGACUAGAGGUAUGCAGGGGAGAACGGAAUUCCUGGUGUAGCGGUGAAAUGCGCAGAUAUCAGGAGGAACACCGGUGGCGAAGGCGGUUCUCUGGGCAUUACCUGACGCUGAGGAGCGAAAGUGUGGGGAGCGAACAGGAUUAGAUACCCUGGUAGUCCACACCGUAAACGUUGGGCGCUAGGUGUGGGGCCUAUUCCAUGGGUUCCGUGCCGCAGCUAACGCAUUAAGCGCCCCGCCUGGGGAGUAC